UACGUAGGGGGGCAAGCGUUGUCCGGAAUCAUUGGGCGUAAAGCGCGUGUAGGCGGUUCAGUAAGUCUGCUGUGAAAAGUCCGGGGCUCAACUCCGGAUCUGCGGUGGGUACGGGCAGACUAGAGUGAUGUAGGGGAGACUGGAAUUCCUGGUGUAGCGGUGAAAUGCGCAGAUAUCAGGAGGAACACCGAUGGCGAAGGCAGGUCUCUGGGCAUUAACUGACGCUGAGGAGCGAAAGCAUGGGGAGCGAACAGG
rnacentral:rRNA from 1 species